UGAGGAAUAUUCCACAAUGGGGGAAACCCUGAUGGAGCGAUGCCGCGUGCAGGAAGACGCUUUUCGGAGUGUAAACUGCUUUUAAUAGGGAAGAUUACGACGGUACCUAUAGAAUAAGGACCGGCUAACUACGUG
rnacentral:rRNA from 1 species